rnacentral:rRNA from 1 species
GACGAUCAGAUACCGUCGUAGUCUUAACUAUAAAUGUUGCAAACCAGGGAUAGGACAGUGUCCAUCUCGACUCCUCCUGGACCUUGGAGAAAUUACGAGUCUAUGGGUUCUGGGGGGAGUAUGGUCGCAAGGCUGAAACUUAAAGGAAUUGACGGAAGGGCACACAAAGAGUGGAACCUGCGGCUUAAUUUGACUCAACACGGGAAAACUCACCAGGUCCGGAUACACGUAUGAAAGUCAAGCUGAAAGACUUUACUCUAUGAUGUAAGUGGUGGUGCAUGGUCGUUCUUAGUUCGUGAUUGAUUUGUCUGGUCUAUUCCGAUAACGAGCGAGACCCCGACGUUCCUAAUAGGGGUGGCAGCCAGACCGGUCGCAAGGCCGGUUAGCUCGCCGCCUGAAGUUAUACUUCUUAGACGCAUCAGAGCCGAUAAGGUUCUUGAAAUGGGUUAAUAACAGGUCAGUCAUGCCCUUAGAUGUUCUGGGCCGCACGCGCGUUACAAUGGCAUGUA